rnacentral:rRNA from 1 species
AACGAUGUCGAUUUGGAGUUUGGGGGCAUGACCCUUGGGCUCCGGAGCUAACGCGUUAAAUCGACCGCUGGGGAGUACGGCCGCAAGGUUAAAACUCAAAUGAAUUGACGGGGGCCCGCACAGCGGUGGAGCAUGUGGUUUAAUUCGAUGCAACGCGAAGAACCUUACCUGGUCUUGACAUCCAUAGAAUCUUUCAGAGAUGAGAGAGUGCCUUCGGGAGCUAUGAGACAGGUGCUGCAUGGCUGUCGUCAGCUCGUGUUGUGAAAUGUUGGGUUAAGUCCCGCAACGAGCGCAACCCCUAUCCUUUGUUGCCAGCACGUAAUGGUGGGAACUCAAAGGAGACUGCCGUUGAUAAAGCGGAGGAAGGUGGGGACGACGUCAAGUCAUCAUGGCCCUUACGACCAGGGCUACACACGUGCUACAAUGGCGUAUACAAAGGGAUGCGAAGGUGCGAACUGGAGCGGACCUCACAAAGUACGUCUAAGUCCGGAUUGGAGUCUGCAACUCGACUCCAUGAAGUCGGAAUCGCUAGUAAUCGUGAAUCAGAAUGUCACGGUGAAUACGUUCCCGGGCCUUGUACACACCGCCCGUCACACCAUGGGAGUGGGUUGCACCAGAAGUAGAUAGCUUAACCUUCGGGAGGGCGUUUACCACGGUGUGGUUCAUGACUGGGGUGAAGUCGUAACAAGGUAACCA